rnacentral:rRNA from 1 species
AGAAUCAACGCUGGCGGCGUGCCUAACACAUGCAAGUCGCACGAGAAAGGGGAGCAAUCCCUGAGUACAGUGGCGCACGGGUGAGUAACACGUGAAUAAUCUACCUCCGAGUGGGGAAUAACUGAGAGAAAUCUUAGCUAAUACCGCAUAACACUUACGAGUCAAAGCAGCAAUGCGCUUGGAGAGGAGUUCGCGGCAGAUUAGUUAGUUGGCGGGGUAAUGGCCCACCAAGACGAUGAUCUGUAUCCGGCCUGAGAGGGCGCACGGACACACUGGAACUGAAACACGGUCCAGACUCCUACGGGAGGCAGCAGUGGGGAAUUUUGCGCAAUGGGGGAAACCCUGACGCAGCAACGCCGCGUGGAGGAUGAAGCCCCGUUGGGGUGUAAACUCCUUUCGAUCGGGAAGAUAAUGACGGUACCGAUAUAAGAAGCCCGGCUAACUUCGCGCCAGCAGCCGC